GAGUUUGAUCAUGGCUCAGAACGAACGCUAUCGGUAUGCUUAACACAUGCAAGUCGAACGGACUAAUUGGGGCUUGCUCCAAUUAGUUAGUGGCAGACGGGUGAGUAACACGUGGGAAUCUACCCAUCAGUACGGGAAUAACUUUUAGAAAUAAAAGCUAAUACCGUAUAUUCUCUACGGAAGAAGGAUUUAUCGCUGAUGGAUGAGCCCGCGUCAGAUUAGGUCGUUGGUGAGGUAACGGCUCACCAAGCCGACGAUCUGUAGCUGGUCUGAGAGGAUGAUCAGCCACACUGGGACUGAGACACGGCCCAGACUCCUACGGGAGGCAGCAGUGGGGAAUAUUGGACAAUGGGCGAAGGCCUGAUCCAGCAAUACCGAGUGAGUGAUGAAGGCCUUAGGGUUGUAAAGCUCUUUUAGCAAGGAAGAUAAUGACGUUACUUGCAGAAAAAGCCCCGGCUAACUCCGUGCCAGCCGCCGCAGU
rnacentral:rRNA from 1 species